rnacentral:sRNA from 1 species
AAUUAAAUUAGUAUUUGACUUUUUAAUCCUUAAAGAGAUAAAUUAAUUUACUCUUUAAAAUUUUAUUUCUAAUGGCAUACCUAUGUAAUUACUUACAAAAAUUAAGGUUACAUUUAAAAUGUACUUCCCAAAUAAUAUAGUAGGAUUAUUCGUUCAAAAAUUGCUUGGAAAUAAUAAAUUACUAGAUUUUAACCCGCGGUAUAGCGCGGGACGAUUUAUUUUUUAAAAGUAAUAUAUAUUAAAAUUUGCAAAUUUUAUUUUUAUAAAAUAUUUAUAUUUUACUGUUUAUAAUUGUUAUUAAGUAACGCUAUACCACGAAUCCAUGAGACAAUUGUUAAAAAACUGAAGUUGUAACCCCUAUUAAAACAGCAUAUUAAUAAUAUUUUAA